UACGUAGGUGGCAAGCGUUGUCCGGAAUUAUUGGGCGUAAAGCGCGCGCAGGCGGUUCCUUAAGUCUGAUGUGAAAGCCCCCGGCUCAACCGGGGAGGGUCAUUGGAAACUGGGGAACUUGAGUGCAGAAGAAAAGAGCGGAAUUCCACGUGUAGCGGUGAAAUGCGUAGAGAUGUGGAGGAACACCAGUGGCGAAGGCGGCUCUUUGGUCUGUAACUGACGCUGAGGCGCGAAAGCGUGGGGAGCAAACAGG
rnacentral:rRNA from 1 species